rfam:Capsicum annuum cultivar Zunla-1 chromosome 1, whole genome shotgun sequence
UCCUCAGUAGCUCAGUGGUAGAGUGUCUGGCUGUUAACCAAUUAGUCGUAGUUUCAAAUCCUACUUGGGGAG